UUCCCAGAUCAUUGAGUUGGGUACAUCCGUGCAUGUGGUCGGACGGAUCUGAUCGAACAUGGCAAGAAAGUAUCCCCAAGACGAAUAUACUCCUACUAGCCAGCCUUCGUUACCAAUGGUGCAUGCUGGCAGAUGCUGCGCGGACAACUCGACAGGUUUAUAUUUGAUACAUACACCUUGCAAACAUGCCACAUGCGUGAGACACACCACACAUACACUUUUGGCCGGUGGCCACACUUUGCAACAUCACUGUCACUCACACACUCACACACAGACACAACCUCACCUGCAUGCGGACAACUCUGUACUGCUCUUCCCAGACAACCGUGCAUGAUGCAUGUACCCUGUAACCACCGCAUGCGUCAGUCGUAGGCGGCGCUGAAGAAGGCCUUGGCGGUGCAGGCGGCGAGGAUCUGGAGGACGCCGGCGUUGGAGCGGGCGACGCAGCGCGGCGACUUGAACUGGCUCACGGGGGCGCCCAGGGAGAGGUAGUGGCGGAGCACCCGGUGGAACGUCCCCCGCUGCAGCACCCGCAGCUCCAGCGGGCCGAUGGCGCGGGACCGCCGCGACCCGACGUAGCCGGGGUCCGCGAAGGCGCGGUCCAGCUCGUCGCAGCACCCCUGCAGAGCGUCGGCGCUGGCGUCGGCGGCGGCGGCGUUGAGCUCGACGAAGACCACGUAGUGGCCCGGGUCCGACGACAUGUCCGCGUGGCUGGUGUAGUCCACCACCUCCAGCUUCUCGGCGGCGAGGAACUUGGCGGCGGCGGCGUCCACGGCCAGCUGCAGGUCCUGCUCGCUGUUCUUGUCGAUGUUGAUGGACAGCGCCAGGUUCCGGCGGCACACGAACUUGAGCUUGGGCGUCGCGUUGUGGAACCCGGCCACCCGCACCACGUCGCCCAGCCUGUACCGGUACAGCCCUGCCAAGAUACGCAUUUCGCCUUCAGAAUCACUACAUCUCUAUCACUGACUGUGGAACUUUUCUUGCGAUUUUCUGACAGAGGAAACAAACAUAGUAUCCAUCGAAGCAAGUACGUACUACAAAUUCAUGAUAAAAUGAUGGGCCAGCAUGAGACAAACAAGCAAUGAUGCAAGCAGAAUUCUCCUAUUUGUGACACUGGCCCGGACCCUAUAGUUAGUUGUGGUAACGGAUUGGACAUGUACCGGCAACCUGUGCGUGCGUGCCCACCUGUGCUGUGUGUUGCACCGGUUCUUAUCCAGUUAUCAUCUGGCAGGACACAUCAUUUCCUGUAGGUUGAUGUGGCGCCCAUGCUCGACCUCAUCCGUGGAGCCAUGCAGGUGAGGCGACGCGACGACAAAUCCUACUGUUAACUGACGUAGUACUGAAAACUAAUACAACACUAGGAUAAAUUUUCCGGGGUAGAUCGAUAGGGAGGUUGGGAGUGUACGUGGCUUCAGAUGACGGAAGAGUUUUUGUUGUCUUUGAUCUUAGGUUUUGUUUGACAGUUGCAGGCGUUGCACUCACAUGUGAAUGCGUGUAAUGACCUGCCGCCUGCCGGCCUGGUCAAAGUUAAAUUUUUGUUAACCUGCUCCGGAGAUUAAAUACUACAUGGAUUCCAAGCUACUCCAUGGAUGGAGUAGCUGCUAGCUAUAGGGAUCAAGAAUGUCGCCUCCUCCCUCUCUAGAAGAAGAAAAAAAAAGGUGGCUACGGUUUUCACGUAAGUGCCGCUGGUACCCCUCGCCUUCAGGUGCCUUCCAACACCAGAGAGGUGGGGAAAACCCUGGUUUGAAGUUAGCAGUGUUUGGGCCGUCCUAGCUUGGGCUAGGCUCAGUGGCGGCGCCAGGUUCUAGAGGGUGGGUAUUCAUUUUGAAGAAGGGUAUUCAUUUUGCCUAAAUCAUCACUAUUUUGCAAAAAAAUUCGCUUGUUUUAUAUAAAAUUUCAAUGGUUUGUCAAAAUCUUGGGUAUUCAACCGAAUACCCAAGAAGACCCCUGGCGCCGCCCCUGGCUAGGCUUCAGUUUGGGUGUUUAGGUCAGUGGCGAGCAAUGACAUCAUCGACAGUGUGGAAUACGAUCUAUGUGUCUUGUCGUCGUUCUGGCGAUGCUGAUUGGCAUUGGGAGACGGUGCAUCAAAGCUUGAGUUAGGGCUAGAUCUUGGGUUUCAUUUGGCCUACAUUUCUUCUAGGUGAUCUUGAACGAGUUAUUUGCUGGAGAGGAGAGUUGACGGCUCAUGGUUUCGCCUUUUGCCUUCUUCUCCUUUCGGCGCUGCACGACAAUUUCAACUUCGUCGGAAACCCUAGUGAGAUAAAGCUUGAGUAGACAGAUUUGGGAUGAUCAUCCAACCCCCUUUGCCUUCUUCUCCAGGACGACGAUCUGAUUCUCAGCUUGCUAUCACCGGCUUCUCCUGGCUCGGACCGAUGACUUGCCUCCGCCACAUCAACAACGCUACCCCGGCACUGCGGGCGUUCUAGAGAUGCAAAGGUGUCAUUGAGCUUUGCUCACGGCGUGUUGCCGACGAGUGCAAGAGGAAGGUGGCGUUGAUAUAUCAAAGGACAUAUAUUUCAUCUUAUGCCUUAGUAAGGAUAGUCUUAUAAAGGUUGGGCAAUUUUAACAUAUGACCUUGCCUUCUCGCGGGCAAGAAUGAUGAACAGGAGCAAAGGGACAGACCGCCAUGCCUCGCAUAUAUAUUAUUACCGGUCCACCGGUUCAACACCUAAUCUAUGGAUAUUUUUCACAUAAACUCCAACGUGUUAGAUUUUGACGCAUUUUGAUUCAUUAACCUCCAUCCCAUAAUAUAAUACGUUUUUGCAAGCUAUCCACACGCCACACUUUCUAGGCUUGCUUCUCUUUGUAUGGAACUUGCAUCAAUGAUGGGCGGGCGUAAGAUUUAUAUUGGAACAUCGAGUGCUAAGUCGUGUCUUGGCCAGGGCUACAUGUUUGGUCUUUGGAAAAACAACGAGCACUUGAUGCUUGGUUUUUUGGCUCCAUGUGUUGAACGAUCAUGUUCAUUCCAGACCAUGCUGAAAAGUCCUCGGACUCUCAUCACCUUUUUGUAUUUUCCCGGCGAAAAGGACUUGCAUCAGCCGUGUCGAUUAACGUACUAGUCAACAAAGUUAAUGUAUGCUCGACGGUGUAACUUUCAUACAGAUCACCGAUCACAAGCUACUAUAUACGUGACAGUAACGCCACAACUAAUACCCACCGUAGCCGCCAUUUUCUGCUUCGUGGAGCAUGGUGACAGCGCAGUAGCACUGUGUUCGACUUUGGUUCACAAGGUCAGAGGAGAGAAUCCAUGUCGCUCCAAGAAUGCUCGCCAAUAUACGUCGCAACCAAACGGGGUCUAGUUCAUCGGGCGGCUUAUUUGGUGACCAAAUUGACCCACUAGACUGGCUAGAUAACCGGGCAGAAAAUGUUGGCGUCGUACGUCCACCUCAAAAUCUCUGUGCGUUUCGACGGGAAUCCAUCGACAGGCGACCGUCUUAUCUACCUAAAAGCUAGCCAUUUGGACAGUGGAGGCUCCACUUGGUUAAGUUAAGACCUCAGUGAAGGACUCAUCACCCAGCACAAGCACAAGGGUUUGGAACCGGAGGGCGACAGGCCAAGUCAAUGCCCCCCUUGCCAAGUCAAGUCAGAUGGAAGAACCUUGGCGGGUUCAUGCAUGGACUCACUCCAUGGAGCGUACGUAAAAGAGGCAAGGAGUUAGGGUGGUACAGUGGUGCGUGCGGCGUACCUGCGAACGUGGUCAUGACGACCUCGUAGUGCUCGCCGGCGACGACGUCCGUCAGGCCGACGGGCUCCGACUCGCCGUAGCAGGCGUCGGGGCCGGGGGCGGCCGCGCAGCCGGGCCGGAGGGGGAUGAACUCGAAGUAGCCGAUGUCGGGGAGCACGGUGAAGGUGGCGGACUCGGGCGGCGCCGCGGGCUCCACGUUGGCGCCGAUCCACCCCUCGGACGCGCCGUACUCGGCGGCGACCAGCGGCAGCCCGCCCGCGUAGUGCCGGAGCUUCUUCACGUAGUGCUCCAUGGAGCCCGUCAUGAUGCCGUACACGUACUUUGCGUUGGGCCACAGCGCCGGGAUCACCCCGUACCAGUUGCUCAGGCCGGCGCACCUGCGCGCCACGGCGUCGGCGAGCUCCGGGUUCGGCCCGGCGAGGAGCGCCGACACGGCCUGCCGGACGGCCGGCGAGGUGACGCGGGUCGGCGAGAGGGCGCCGCGGCGGAUGUCGGCGCAGAGCUCCUCCCACACCCGCUCGAAGGUCUGGAAGGCGAGCACGACGCUGUGCGCGAAGGUGGCCGACACCAUCUGCACCUCGCCGGCGGCGAGCAGGCCGCAGAGGAGGUGGCAGUAGAGCGACUGCGCGAAGUCGGCGCCGAAUAUCACCUCGUCGGGGCUGCAGCACUGCGACUGCACCGCGCGCAUCGUCGCCUUGAACUCCUCGCUGCGGUACACGUUGGUGGUCGCCGUCGUCGCCGUCAGCCCGCCCUUGGUCGUGAACUGCCGGCUGCUGUAGAUGAACUGCAGCGCCUUGCCGUCCUCCACGGGGAACUCCCUGCCGUUAAGCAGUCACCAUACAUACCUCAUUAAUGGAGAUCACCAGCCGAAAAACCUUCACUGAAACUAGAACGAAACUGACGAGCCGACGGUACAAGUGAAGGAACAAAAGGAGGUUGCAGUCGUACGUUAGGCUUGUUGCAUCGAUCAUGGAUUUAAUUCUAAUAACAGGUUAUUCUACGAUUGAUUACUCCAUUCCAACUCACAGAUCGAUCGCUACUGUUGGUUCACGUGAUGUACAAAUUGAGAACGGCCGAAUUAUGGCGGAGGACGACUCCCCGGAUCGAGGCCGGGCACCAGAAGCAAGAAAUUUAACUUUAAGCGAACGAAAUCUGGGCUGGAUUUGCUCUCUACCUGUUCCUGAAGGCGUAGGAGGUCCGGUAUAUCUGCAUGGUGGACUUGACGAGCUCCUCGUUGAACAGCAGGUACUUGCGCUUCCCCUGCGUCGUGCCGGAGCUGCACGUCGUACAUCACCAUGAUCAGUCCUUGAGGAGAGCUAAAAGAGGAGCUAUACGCUAGGAUAGGAGCCUUGAUGAUUAGCAAGUGGCCAACCUUAGGGAGAUGGAGGUGACGGGCUUGCCGGUGAGGACGGGCGUGGCGUCGCCGUCGACGAUGCGCUCAAUGUAGGGCUCGAGGUCGGCGUGCGUGGCGAGCGGCACGCAUUGCUUGAAGCUGGCGGCGUCGGUGCGGCCGGCGAGGCCCAGCCCCCGCAGGUACUCGGUGUUGCCGUUCUCGGCGAGGAUCCGCCGCAGCGUCUCCCGCUGCACAAUGGCGGCGUCCCGCGUCAGCCGCUCGAACUCGGCGAUCACCUUCUCGCCGCUGAACUCGCCGGCCUUCUUCUCCAACAUUCUGCCGCUGUCCACUCUCCACACCGGUCGGGCUCCGAACCUGCUGCCACGAGACGCUGCAACAACAGGAAGAAGACCGAAACCAAGUCAGAAACAUGGGGGGUGGGGUUAGUUGGUUCGACUGUUGAAGAAGAGGAGGUGACGUCGGCGAUGAGAUUUUGUGUCCAACAUCGCUCGUGUCCUCUUUUGGAUAAAAAGCUCGAGCAGGACAAAAUUAACAGCACGACUUUUCUUUGCCUCUUCGACCAAACACCAAGGGGGCAAACGAGAGGAGAGGAUCGUGCGAGGAGAGCACCGGGAACAGUGGCCACAGGCCUGUGUGCCCCUCGCUGUCCGUGAGGCAGGCCUCCAGCUCUGCUUGCUAAACUAGUUCGGUCCAGGGACAAAGAUCCAACGAUCAUCUCUAUCCUUCCGUUUCUUUUAUCCCUCUCUCACGCAGAAUGAUGGGGAGUCUACGCCGCGGAGACGAGCUCCCGGGAAGGAGCCAAGGGCAGAGCAGAGCAAAGGGACGACGCAAGAGACAAAGAACAGCUGGGGAACCCGAGAAAGAAAAGAAAAGAGGAGCGCGCGGCCACGAGCCGGAGCCCGCCCACUCACCUCGGGGUGUCCGCCGCGGGGCCGGGAAGACGACGGCGGCCGGGGACGCACGGGCCGCGGCAACGGACGAAGCACGGCGCGGCAGGGAACGAGGCGCCUCUCCGUCCUUCUGCGCCGCCGCUCGAACACCUAGGCGCGAAGACGCACAGGGGGCAGCGCGCGGUGCGGAGUGGAGAGUACGGUGAGGCGAGGAGUGAGGAGACGACGAGCGCGGGCGCAUAUAUACACGCGCGGUUUUAUCUGUGUGCAAAAGGGUACUGGUAGUAAUACGGGAACAGACGAUCUUUUUUGCCAUGGGUUGUUGUUGAUGGGACACGAUGACGGCCUUUUCAUCUUGCUGUGGCACGACACGAUCGGGCUGCAGUAAUACGGCGGAAAGCUUGCUAUCCAGUUUUAUCCAUGGCUGCAAAUGGGUGAGUUGAAGCUAGGAAGGGUUUGAUUUAGCUUUAUUGCCUCGCGGGUAGCGACAGCCAUGCCGAUUUAAUUCCAAUCACAACAUCCUUGAUUGUGUCCCUCAAGUAAUUUUAGGAUAACCCAGAGUGGAUAAUUAUCAUUUCUGUACGGACAGUCUCGUAUACAUGGUAUAUUCACUCCACUUGUAGAAAAACAAAGUUUUACACUAUUUUUUUUGGGAAAACUUACGAUCUAGUAUUCACUAACCGUCAAAAUAGUAAAAGAAAAAUCAAAAAUAAAAAAAGUCGUCUUGGUCAAAGACCACCUAGCGAAGACUACAAGCAUUAGAGCCGGACAAACAUUGUUAUAGCAGACAGUCGGAAACUUGUUGUGCUAAGGUCCCACAUGACCAACACACCAGAACAGCAAUCGCAUGCAACCGGUGAAAAGAAGCGUAGGUCUUAAGAUCCUUUGUUCAAAAGAAAAAUGAAAGAAAAAUAUAGGAUUCAUGUGCUUGACUGAGAUCCCUAAUCAUAUAAUGACAUGUUAAUUAUACAUUUUCAUGUGGUUUGACUUUGAAUUGACUCUGUUUACUAGAAUUCAUGUGUUUUUUCUAUUCCUAUAAAUUGAACACUUGCAAAAUUCCCAUAUGUUUUACACAUGCAUCCCCACCCAAUUCUUGUUUUUUUUCCUUCCCCUGUUUUUAGAAUCACGUUAUCCCAAGGAGCCUUAAAUCAGACUUUGAAAGUUUUGACCAAUGAAAUUAUUGUUUUAGAUAUUUAGACUGAGAACUCGGUAAUCAUACGCACAUUUUUGUUUGGGAAGUACUUUAUGGAUAAUAUUAUAAUUUGGUUGGAUUUUAGGCAUACUCCCUUUGUUCCUAAAAGGAAAAUAUAUUUGUAUUUUUCAUAUUACAUCAUGUAUUAGGAGAUCAAGGCCAAUGCAUGAAGAAGUGUUUAUGAUCAAUACCUCUGUGAGUCAAUGCAUAAAGCCCAAAUAAUCCCUUUUAACUUGUCCUUGAUAUGUAACUUCAAGCUAUAUGUUCCUUUUGGCAUGGAGAAAAUUAAAACAGAAACUAGUAUCUAGUGGCCAAAGUUACAUUGAAAGACUAUACCGAUGUCCCAAAGAUCAAUUGUUUCCCAUGGACCGGAAGCAGUAUAUACAUUUACCACCCUAAAAAUGCAAAGGUGCAUGUAUCAUGAUAAUACUACUUCAAAACUAUAUCUUUCAAAUAGGAGGGCAAACCGAUAUCUGAUAGAUGUCCCUCUUUAUUCUUAACUCCUAAUGUAGCAUCCAUGUUAAAUCACAUCACUCUAAAAAGAACAAUUGUAAUAUUAUACCAAGAAUCAAUCAAAUCCAUUAGAUCUUGAUGGUUGGACCUAAGAAUAGUCAUGUCCUUUUUAUCAAGCCAACGAGGGAGCACAUGAGGUACCGGCAUGGAGCACACCUCUCCAAGACAUGCCCCUCCACGCACAUUUUUUCGUCAACUUUAUGAAACAGCCAAGUCCUCGUCAAGCUAGCGGAAGACGACAGGCUUAGAAUGAACCCAGGCUUGAAGCUACCAAGCUCUUGGGCUUGUUCAUGAAGGAAAUAUGCCCUAGAGGCAAUAAUAAAGUUAUUAUUUAUUUCCUCAUAUCAUGAUAAAUGUUUAUUAUUCAUGCUAGAAUUGUAUUAACCGGAAACUUAGUACAUGUGUGAAUACAUAGACAAACAUAGUGUCACUAGUAUGCCUCUACUUGACUAGCUCAUUAAUCAAAGAUGGUUAUGUUUCCUAACCAUAUAUAUGAGUUGUCAUUUGAUUAAUGGGAUCACAUCAUUAGGAGAAUGAUGUGAUUGACUUGACCCAUUCCGUUAGCUUAACACUUGAUCGUUUAGUUUUCUGCUAUUGCUUUCUUCAUGACUUAUACAUGUUCCUGUGGCUAUGAGAUUAUGCAACUCUUGAUUAUCGGAGGAACACUUUGUGUGCUACCAAACGUCACAACGUAACUGGGUGAUUAUAAAGGUGCUCUACAGGUGUCUCUGAUGGUACUUGUUGAGUUGGCAUAAAUCAAGAUUACGAUUUGUCACUCUGAUUGUCGGAGAGGUAUCUCUGGGCCCUCUCGGUAAUGCAAUCACUUAAGCCUUGCAAGCAUUGCAACUAAUGAGUUAGUUGCGGGAUGAUGUAUUACGGAACGAGUAAAGAGACUUGCUGGUAACAAGAUUGAAUUAGGUAUUGAGAUACCGACGACCGAAUCUCGGGCAAGCAACAUACCAAUGACAAAGGGAACAACGUAUGUUGUUAUGCGGUCUGACCGAUAAAGAUCUUCAUAGAAUAUGUAGGAGCCAAUAUGAGCAUCCAGGUUCUACUAUUGGUUAUUGACCGGAGACGCGUCUCGGUCAUGUCUACAUAGUUCUCGAACCCGUAGGGUCCGCACGCUUAACGUUACGAUGACAGUUAUAUUAUGAGUUUAUAUGUUUUGAUGUACCAAAGGUUGUUCGGAGUCCCGGAUGUGAUCACGGACAUGACGAGGAGUCUCGAAAUGGUCGAGACAUGAAUAUUGAUAUAUUGGAAGCCCAUGUUUGGAUAUCGGAAGUGUUCCUGGUAAAAUCGGGAUUUUACCGGAGUACCGGGAGGUUACCGGAACCCCUGGGAAUCAAAUGGGACUUAGUGGGCCUAGGUGGAAGAGAGGAGAGGAGGCAAGGGCUGGCCGCGCGCCCCUCCCCCCUAGUCCGAAUAGGACAAGGAGAGGGGGGCGGCGCCCCCCCUUCCUUCCUUCUCCUCCACUCCUUCCCCCUCAAGUCGGGAGUAGGACUCCUCCUGGCGCGCCCUCUCCCUUGGCCGGCCACACCCCCUGUGGGAGUCCUGGAUUAGGGGGUCUCCAGACAGCCGGACUAUAUCCUUUGGCCGGACUGUUGGACUAUGAAGAUACAAGAUUGAAGACUUCGUCUCGUGUCCGGAUGGGACUCUACUUGGCGUGGAAGGCAAGCUAGGCAAUACGAAUAUGGAUAUCUCCUCCCUUGUAACCGACCUUGUGUAACCCUAACCCUCUCCGGUGUCUAUAUAAACCGGAGGGUUUUGGUCCGUGGAACAACAUCAACGACAACAUACAAUCAAACCAUAGGCUAGCUUCUAGGGUUUAGCCUCUCUGAUCUCGUGGUAGAUCUACUCUUGUACUACCCAUAUCAUCAAUAUUAAUGAAGCAGGACGUAGGGUUUUACCUCCAUCGAGAGGGCCCGAACCUGGGUAAAACAUUGUGUCCCCUGCCUCCUGUUACCAUCCGGCCUAGACGCACAGUUCGGAACCCCCUACCCGAGAUCCGCCGGUUUUGACACCGACAUUGGUGCUUUCAUUGAGAGUUCCUCUGUGUCGUCACCGUUAGGCUUGAUGGCUCCUACUAUCAUCGAUAGCUAUAUAGUCCAGGGUGAGACUUUCCUCCCCGGACAGACCUUCGGGUUCGGCGGCUUCGCACUACGGGCCAACUCGCUUGGCCAUCUGGAGCAGAUCGAAAGUUACGCCCCUGGCCGUCAGGUCAGGUUUGGAAGCUUAAAUUACACGACCGAUAUCCGCGGAGACUUGAUCUUCGACGGAUUCGAGCCCUUGCCUUGUGCGCCACACGGUCACGGUGAGUACGAUUUAGCUCUACCAUCGGACCAUAUUCAGGUGAUCGCACCGGCAGCCGCUCCGAGCCUCAAUUCGGAGCCAGUUGCGCCGCCCAUGGACGGGCGGAUAGACCCCGUCACGAAGGCCGUAUCCUCAACGGCGAUCGAGCCGAAUAUCGACCUUACCCUUUGCAAGAGCCGUGUUGUUAAACCGCCGAAUACUUCUCCGUCCACGGACUACGAACCGCUUGUGCCCAUUCCUAUCGAAUCCGGUUGGGCGCCGGUCAUGGAGUUUACCUUCGCGGAUAUCUUUCAGCACUCGCCCUUCGGCGACAUACUGAAUUCAUUUAAGUCUCUCUCCUUGUCAGGAGAGUCCUGGCCGAACUAUGUCCGGCAGGACUGGGGUACGGACGACGAAGAAAUUCGUGACCCACCCACCAUCCAUUUAGUAGCCACUGUCGACGACUUAACCGACGUGCUCAACUUCGACUCCGAAGACAUCGACAGUAUGGACGACGAUGCGGGAGACGAAGAGGAACCACUGCCUACAGGGCACUGGACGUCCACCUCAUCACAUGACGUAUACAUGGUGGACACACCAAAGGAAAAUGGCGACGAGGAACGGAAGGACGCAACGAAGGGUUGUCCCCUCGAUAAGCAAUCAAAGUGGCGGCGUAAGCGCCACCCCAAAUCCCGCCUCGACAGAAAUAAAGAUCAUACAGGCCCAGCGUUAGAGCAGGGUGAACCACCGCCGGACCACGGCAACGCGGAGAAUCAAACCGAACAAACCAACUCUGUCAAAGAUAAUAGUCCGGAGGACAUAACACCGGACAAACACCCGGAGCAACAAAAUGCCCAUCAAAUGCUUGUUGCCACCGCGAGGAGUCUAAAAAGGAAGAAGCAAAGGCUCAAGGCUGCGCAAGACACACUCCAAAUCAGAUGGAGUAAAGUACUCAACGUAGCAGCAAAGUAUGGCGACAAUCGCCCCACCAAGAGUUACCCAAAGCGGAAGUUACUACCCGAAUUCGAUGAGGAGGCCUUAGAUCCCCCGCAACCAAAAAUCAAAAUGGCCACCUGGCCGGAUAGACGACCUCAUGGCCAACAUAGAGCGGCAAACAAUGCCACAUAUAAGCCAAUACGCGAUCCACGCGAGGGCUCGCAUCAAAAGGACGGCGCAACCAGAUCCAUCUAUGGACCACGCAAGCGCUCUCCAGCAUACAAUGCAACACAACAAACAUCUGAACAACGCGGCACGCCCAGAUACAGGGGCGCCGCACACCCCUAUGUUUCACCGAUGAGGUGCUGGACCAUAAAUUUCCAGAAGGAUUCAAACCCAUAAACAUAGAGGCAUAUAACGGAACAACAGACCCUGGGGUCUGGAUUGAGGACUAUAUCCUCCAUAUCCAUAUGGCUCGAGGAUAUGAUCUCCACGCCAUUAAAUACUUACCCCUUAAGCUCAAAGGGUCAGCUCGGCACUGGCUUAAAAGCCUCCCCGAAAACUCCAUCGAAAGCUGGGAAGAGCUCGAAGACGCUUUCCGGACAAAUUUUCAAGGGACUUAUGUCCGACCUCCAGACGCGGACGAUUUGAGUCAUAUAACUCAACAGCCCGGAGAGUCAGCCCGAAAGCUCUGGAAUAGGUUUCUUACUAAAAAGAACCAAAUUGUCGACUGUCCGGACGCCGAAGCCUUGGCAGCCUUUAAGCAUAGCAUCCGUGACGAAUGGCUUGCCAGACACCUCGGCCAAGAAAAGCCGAGAACAAUGGCAGCAUUAACAAGCCUCAUGACCCGCUUUUGCGCGGGUGAGGAUAGCUGGCUAGCCAGAUGCAACACCAGCGACCCUAGUACAUCCGAAGCUAGAGAUGGAAACGGGAAAUCACGGCGCAAUAACAAUAACAAACACCGGAAUAAGGAAGACAUCACGAAGAGCACGACAGUAAACGCCGGAUUCAAAAGCUCUCGGCCAAGUCAGCAAAAGCCGCCCUUUAAAGGCGCUAGAGAUGAACUGUCCAGCCUAAACAAAAUUCUGGACCAAGUAUGUCAGAUCCAUAGCACCCCCGGUAAACCCGCCAAUCAUACCCACCGAGAAUGUUGGGUCUUCAAGCAGUCCGGCAAACUCAACGCCGUACACAAGGGGGAGGAUACACCAAGCGAAGACGAGGAUGAGCCUCUCAAGCACGACACUGGGGAACAAAAGAAGUUUCCACCAGAAGUUAAAACAGUAAACAUGUUACACGUGAUCAAGGGGAGCAACAAAGCGGCACUCCCAGAUAAAUAUGCCCAAGGGCCUAUCAUUGGCGAGCCCUGCCACUGGUCGUUUCAACUGAUCACUUUCGACCAUCAUGAGUACUCGGCAAGUAUCCGGCGGGCAGGAUGGGCUGCCCUGGUACUACACCCAAUUAUUGACGGAUACCACUUUACACGAGUCCUGAUGGACGGUGGCAGCAGUUUAAACCUGAUAUAUCAGGAUACAAUCCGCGAAAUGGCGAUAGACCCAACAAAAAUCCGCCAUAGCGACACUACCUUUAAAGGAGUAACGCCAGGCCUAGGGGCUCACUGCACGGGCUCCCUUCUACUAAAGGUUGUAUUCGGCUUCCCCGAUAACUUCUGUAGCGAACAUUUAACCUUCCACAUCGCUCCGUUCCAAAGUGGUUAUCAAGCACUACUUGGACACGAAGCUUUUGCUUGCUUUAAUGCAAUACCGCAUUACGCUUCCCUCACGCUCAAGAUGCCCGGUCCACGUGGCAUCAUUACAGUGAGCGGAAAUAUUGAGUGAUCUUUGUGCGCCGAAGAGAAUGGAACUGCCUUGGCAGCCGCACACUAAAAACGGCCUCACCAACUACAGCAUUUGAUAGGUCGUCAGGACCACGAACACGGUUAGACGAGUCCGGCGCUGCUAUAUGUAAUUUGUACCGGAUUGAGGGCCACACCCCUAUUAUAAAUACAAGGGGCUCAACGCGCGCAGACAAGUGGCAAUUUUUACUCAUUCUUAAUUAUACAUGGUUUCUUUAAAAAACUACCUUUUUGCACGACAACUUUUUCACCCAAGUUCCUCUCUUUUACAGACGAUCAUCGUGCUACACCCAUCCAGGAUACGGCACAACGGAGACACAGGCGCAGACGUGCAGCAGGGACCCGCUCCAAGGAUUCUUUUUAGAUUAAGACCAUGUGUGAACCUUUUUUACUGUCUCUUGUUGAUACACAUCCCUCGAACUCUCAGCGCAAUUGAGAAGGAUGCUGACGUCUUGGCAUGUGGCCACGUCAGAAUAAUGCACGUACCUGGACACAAGGGGCUUCUUACAAAGGGCACUAUUUAGGCUCGGUUUACACCAUAAAGACCGAAUACCUUAGGGAGUGUUCGGCGUCGCGAGUUUGGCCUUAUAUGCAUCAGCUUCAAAUCAUGUCUUUGGUCAAAUGUUGGGUUUGCCCGUCUCCUAUGUUUUGGUACCUUACAUUCUGCUCUAUCGGCUAAGGUAGCACUAGGAGAACUGCUGCGAUUGUGCCCCGGGUCAUCCGGACGAGCACCUCAGUACAGAAAGCCGAAAACUGACUGUCAUGAUAUAGCGUGAGACUGGUCAACCACUCGAUGACCUACCGGAAUGUUAGAAUUCCUCCGCCUUAACGAAGGGACGUUUCCCGGCCAGGCAUGAACGCACCCCGAAUUCGGGAGAGUGCGGAGCCAACAGAGGCUAUAUAGUAGUCCCACCGUCAAACUCCUAGGGCUAAGUGAAAGUGUUAAAGCAUUAUAGUUCGGUUGCCUCGUUCGCUAUGAUAUCACCUCCUUAAUAGGACCAAGACGUUGGGUUAAGAGUGAACACGCAUCUUCUGCGAACACCCCCGCAUUAUAUGCGUGGGGGCUGAAGCCGACGACUGCAACCUUUCAGGUUAUAUGCAUGUAUACAUAAACGGACGCAUAGGAGGCAUCAUAUUACUUUCAGGCAAAAGUAUAAACAUAGCCUUAAUAAAUUUCAUAAAAAACAUUGUGUUUACAAUGGGAAUACAUGUCACUCAAACAUAAUAUUCUUCGAGCACUGGGACUCUAUCAAAUGAGCACCCUCAAGAACCUCUUCGAAAUAUUGCUCGGCAGCCACUCGGCCUAUGGCCGAACCCUGCGCCGCAAAGCGGUAGCAUCCAUCUCUGCCUAGUAUGCUUUAACACGGGCAAGGGCCAUCCGCGAGCCAUCUAUGCACGCCGACCUCUUGAAAGCAUUGAUGCGCGGCACCACACCAAGGAACUACUGCACUAGGCUAAAAUAGUUGUUCGGCUUCGGCUUUUCCGGCCACAGCUGAUCCACAACGGACCUCAUGGUGAGUCCGAACAACCUAUUAAGUUCGGCCCAUUCGGCUAGCUGAUCUGUCAGGGGAAGCGAACGCUCUAGAACAUUAAAUUGCGACCAGAAUAACUUGUCCACUUCACGAUCUGACUGAUCUCGGAAGUACUCGACCGCGUCGGCAGCGCUUGCCGCCAAGUCCAUAUACGCGUCUUCCGAACUCCACAACCGAUCCAGAGGGGCAUAACGCGGAUCUUCGAACUUCGUCUGCAGCAGAAAGGGCUUCCCAACCACAAUAUCCCCGGCUUCGCGCAGCUCCUCCUUCUUCGCCCUCAUAGCGGAGCGAGUGUCUUUGGUCGCCAUCGUGGCCUUCUCAAGGUCCGCUGCCUUCACUCGAUUCUCUUCUUCAAGGAACUGGCAAUGGUCGGUAGUGCCUUUUAAUUCCACAGCCAUCUUGGCCAUUUUUUCUUUACUUUCGCAAUGGGCGGCCUUCUCAGCUCUUAACUCUUCGGCUGCCUUCAAAGCAGCCGCAUUACUAACCCUCGCUUGUUCCUUGGCUCGGGCAAGUUCAGCCCGAAGGGUCUCCAUGGUGGCAGCUCCGUCUGCAGUCACAAAAUAUUAAAGAUACUGGCAUUAUGCUGCUCUUAUUAUGUGACAUUCACCAGGAAAACAUCACUUACCCUGUGACUCGUCAAGCCGCCUGUUAACAAGCUCGAUGUCGGCGUCCGCCGCAUCUAGUUGCCGCUUUAGCUCGACAAACUCAUGAGUCCGUCUAGCCACCGGAGCUCCCAUUACCUGCACAUUAAAGCGGUAUAGUUAUUGCCUGGGACUACGAUCCUCUAUUCGCCGCCGUUUUCAACGACAACCAGAGUCUCAAGGGCUACUAUCUACACAGGGCACACUUCACAUGUGCGAUACUAUCAAAAAGUAUAUCAUUUCACGUACCUCCCGUCAGUAGACUCAUAAAAGCUUCAUGCAAUCCGCUUUCGGCGGACGAAACUCUUCCCAUCACCGUACCCAUUAACAUAUGGUGUUCCUCUGAGAUGGUUGCUCGCCCCAACAGCUCCCUCAGUAUGUCCGACCGCAUACCAGACGGUGUCAGACUCUUCUGUUCACUCUCUUCAUGAGCCGGACGCUGAGGACUUCGAGUGGCUGUAGGAUUAUCUUCUGGCCUCACCAAAUCCGGAGAGGCCCUCCGUGACGACACUUCAAGGUCGCCCUCUUCUUGAGCAGGGGAGUCCGGAGGAGGCGUUUCGCUCUCCAUCAUCUUCGGAAGAAGAUCCCCCGAAGAUGGGCUCUGCUGAGAAGGGCUAAGAUCCGAACUGCAAGAUAAACGCUUCGGUUAUUUUCCUCAGAGGAAAGGUAACAUACCUUCACUAUUGAAGUGCUUUCUAACUACUUACAGCUCGUUGGAGGGCUGACCCUCGCGCGGACUUUGUGCGGUAAAAGCACCCUCCAAGGCAGGACCCUCUAGUGGGGUUUCUGUUGGAAAUAUGCCCUAGAGGCAAUAAUAAAAGUAUUAUUAUAUUUCAUUGUUCAUGAUAAUUGUCUUUUAUUCAUGCUAUAACUGUAUUAUCCGGAAAUCGUAAUACACGUGUGAAUACAUAGACCUCAAUAUGUCCCUAGUGAGCCUCUAGUUGACUAGCUCGUUGUGAUCAACAGAUAGUCAUGAUUUCCUGGCUAUGGACAUUGGAUGUCGUUGAUAACGGGAUCACAUCAUUAGGAGAAUGAUGUGAUGGACAAGACCCAAUCCUAAGCAUAGCACAAAGGUCGUUUAGUUCGUUUGCUAGAGCUUUGCCAAUGUCAAGUAUCUCUUCCUUAGACCAUGAGAUCGUGUAACUCCCGGAUACCGUAGGAGUGCCUUGGGUGUAUCAAACGUCACAACGUAACUGGGUGACUAUAAAGGUGCAUUACAGGUAUCUCCGAAAGUAGCUGUUGGGUUGACACGGAUCGAGACUGGGAUUUGUCACUCCGUAUGACGGAGAGGUAUCUCUGGGCCCACUCGGUAAUGCAUCAUCAUAAUGAGCUCAAGGUGACCAAAGUUUUGGCCACGAGAUCAUGCAUUACGGUACGAGUAAAGUGACUUGCCGGUAACGAGACUGAACAUGGUAUUGGGAUACCGACGAUCGAGUCUCGGGCAAGUAACGUACCGAUUGACGAAGGGAAUUGUAUACAGGGUUUGAUCGAAUCCUCGACAUCGUGGUUCAUCCGAUGACAACAUCGAGAAGCAUGUGGGAGCCAACAUGGGUAUCCAGAUCCCGCUGUUGGUUAUUGACCGGAGAACGUCUCGGUCAUGUCUACAUGUCUCCCGAACCCGUAGGGUCUACACACUUAAGGUUCGAUGACGCUAGGGUUAUAAAGGAAGUUUGUAUGUGGUUACCAAAUGUUGUUCGGAGUCCCGGAUGAGAUCCCGGACGUCACGAGGAGUUCCGGAAUGGUCUGGAGGUAAAGAUUUAUAUAUGGGAAGUCCUAUUUUGGCCACCGGAAAAUGUUCGGGAUUUUUCGGUAUUGUACCGGGAAGGUUCUAGAAGGUUCCGGAGUGGGGCCCACCUGCAUGGGGGGACCCACAUGAACGUGAGUAGUGGGGGAAAGGCCCCACACCCCUGGUCAAGGCGCACCAAGAUCCCCCCUUAGAAGGAAUAAGAUCAUAUCCCGAAGGGAUAAGAUCAAGAUCCCUAAAAAGAGGGGAUAACAAUCGGUGGGGAAGGAAAUGAUGGGAUUUCUUUCCUCCCACCUUGGCCAACGCCCCAAUGGACUUGGAGGGCAAGAAACCAGCCCCUCCACCCCUAUAUAUAGUGGGGAGGCGCAUGGGAGCUUAACACAAGCCAAGGCGCAGCCCCUCCCCUCCCCAACACCUCUCCUCCUCCGUAUAUGCUUGGCGAAGCCCUGUCGGAGUACUGCUGCACCAACUACACCACGCCGUCGUGCUGCCGUUGGAGAAAUCUUCCUCAACCUCUCCUUCCCCCUUGCUGGAUCAAGAAUGAGGAGACGUCUCCCGUCCCGUACGUGUGUUGAACGCGGAGGUGCUGUCCGUUCAGCACUUGGACAUCGGUGAUCCGAAUCACGUUCGAGUACGACUCCAUCAUCACCAUCCCCUUGGCUAGCUUCCGCUCGUGAUCUACAAGUGGUAUGUAGAUGCAAACUCUCUCCCUUGACUCGUUGCUUAGAUGAACUCAUAGAUGGAUCUUGGUGAAACCGUAGGAAAAAUUUUAAUUUUCUGCAACGUUCCCCAACAGUGGCAUCAUGACCUAGGUCUAUGCGUAGUUCUCUUUGCACGAGUAGAACACAAUUUUGUUGUGGGCGUGGAUUUUGUCAUCUUACUUGCCUCUACUAGUCUUUUCUUGCUUCGGCGGUAUUGUGGGAUGAAGCGGCCCGGACCAACCUUACACGUACGCUUACGUGGGACCGGUUCCACCGACUGACAUGCACUAGUUGCAUAAGGUGGCUGGCGGGUGUCUGUCUCUCCCACUUUAGUUGGAGCGGAUUCGAUGAAAAGGGCCCUUAUGAAGGGUAAAUAGAAGUUGACAAAAUCACGUUGUGGUUAUUCGUAGGUAAGAAAACGUUCUUGCUAGAACCCAAUUGCAGCCACGUAAAAGAUGCAACAACAAUUAGAGGACGUCUAACUUGUUUUUGCAGCGAUUGAUCAUGUGAUGUGAUAUGGCCAGAAGUUGUGAUGAAUGAUGAAUUGUGAUGUAUGAGAUCAUGUUCUUUGUAAUAGGAUUCACGACUUGCAUGUCGAUGAGUAUGACAACCGGCAGGAGCCAUAGGAGUUGUCUUUAUUUUUUGUAUGACCUGCGUGUCAUUGAAGAACGCCAUGUAACUCACUUUACUUUAUUGCUAAACGCGUUAGCCAUAGAAGUAGAAGUAGUCAUUGGCGUGACAACUUCAUGAAGACACGAUGAUGGAGAUCAUGAUGAUGGAGAUCAUGGUGUCAAGCCGGUGACAAGAUGAUCAUGGAGCCCCGAAGAUGAAGAUCAAUGGAGCUAUAUGAUAUUGGCCAUAUCAUGUCACAACUAUAUAACUGCAUGUGAUGUUUAUUAUGUUUAUGCAUCUUGUUUACUUAGGACGACGGUAGUAAAUAAGAUGAUCCCUUACAAAAAUUUCAAGAAGUGUUCUCCCCUAACUGUGCACCGUUGCUACAGUUUGUCGCUUCUAAGCACCACGUGAUGAUCGGGUGUGAUGGAUUCUUACGUUCACAUACAACGGGUGUAAGACAAUUUUACACAGCGAAAACACUUAGGGUUAACUUGACGAGCCUAGCAUGUGCAGACAUGGCCUCGGAACACGGAGACCGAAAGGUCGAACACGAGUCGUAUGGAAGAUACGAUCAACAUGAGAAUGUUCACCGACGAUGACUAGUCCGUCUCACGUGAUGAUCGGACACGGCCUAGUCGACUCGGAUCGUAUAACACUUAGAUGACUAAAGGGAUGUCUAAUCUGAGUGGGAGUUCAUAAUUUGAUUAGAACUUAAUUAUCAUGAACUUAGUCUAAAACCUUUGCAAAUAUGUCUUGUAGAUCAAAUGGCCAACGCUCAUGUCAACAUGAACUUCAACGCGUUCCUAGAGAAAACCAAGCUGAAAGAUGAUGGCAGCAACUAUACAGACUGGGUCCGGAACCUGAGGAUCAUCCUCAUAGCUGCCAGGAAACAAUAUGUCCUAGAAGGACCGCUAGGUGACGCUCCCGUCCCAGAGAACCAAGACAUUAUGAAUGCUUGGCAAACUUGCGCUGAUGAUUACUCCCUCGUUCAGUGCGGCAUGCUUUACAGCUUAGAACUGGGGCUCCAAAAGCGUUUUGAGCAUCACGGAGCAUAUGAGAUGUUCGAAGAGCUGAAACUAGUUUUCCAAGCUCAUGCCCGGGUCGAGAGAUAUGAUGUCUCCGACAAGUUCUACAGUUGUAAGAUGGAGGAAAACAGUUCUGUCAGUGAGCACAUCCUGAAGAUGUCUGGGUUACACAACCGUAUGACCCAGCUGAACAUUAACCUCCCAGAUGAGGCGGUCAUUGACAGAAUCCUCCAGUCGCUCCCACCAAGCUACAAGAGCUUUGUGAUGAACUACAACAUGCAGGGGAUGGAAAAGACCAUUCCUGAAGUGUUCUCGAUGCUGAAGUCAGCAGAGGCUGAAAUCAAGAAAGAACAUCAAGUGUUGAUGGUCAAUAAGACCACUAAGUUCAAGAAGGGCAAGGGUAAGAAGAACUUCAAGAAGGACGGCAAGGAGGUUGCCGCGCCUGGUAAGCCAGUUACCGGGAAGAAGUCAAAGAAUGGACCUAAGCCUGAGACUGAGUGCUUUUAUUGCAAGGGGAAGGGUCACUGGAAGCGGAACUGCCCCAAAUACUUAGCAGAUAAGAAGGCCGGCAAAACCAAAGGUAUAUUUGAUAUACAUGUAAUUGAUGUGUACCUUACCAGUACUCGUAGUAACUCCUGGGUAUUUGAUACAGGUGCCGUUGCUCAUAUUUGUAACUCACAGCAGGAGCUGCGGAAUAAACGGAGACUGGCGAAGGACGAGGUGACGAUGCGCGUCGGGAAUGGUUCCAGAGUCGAUGUGAUCGCCGUCGGCACGCUUCCUCUACAUUUACCUACGGGAUUAGUUUUGAACCUUAAUAAUUGUUAUUUAGUGCCAAGUUUGAGCAUGAACAUUGUAUCUGGAUCUCGUUUAAUACGAGAUGGCUACUCAUUUAAGUCUGAGAAUAAUGGUUGUUCGAUUUAUAUGAGAGAUAUGUUUUAUGGUCAUGCUCCGAUGGUCAAUGGUUUAUUCUUAAUGAAUCUCGAGCGUAAUAUUACACAUGUUCAUAGUGUAGAUGCCAAAAGAUGUAAAGUUGAUAACGAUAGUCCCACAUACUUGUGGCACUGCCGCCUUGGUCACAUUGGUGUCAAGCGCAUGAAGAAGCUCCAUGCCGAUGGACUUUUAGAGUCUCUUGAUUAUGAAUCGUUUGACACGUGCGAACCAUGCCUCAUGGGCAAGAUGACCAAGACUCCGUUCUCCGGAACAAUGGAGCGAGCAACCAACUUAUUGGAAAUCAUACAUACCGAUGUGUGCGGUCCAAUGAGCGUUGAGGCUCGCGGAGGAUAUCGUUAUGUUCUCACUCUCACUGAUGACUUAAGUAGAUAUGGGUAUGUCUACUUAAUGAAACACAAGUCUGAGACCUUUGAAAAGUUCGAGGAAUUUCAGAAUGAGGUGGAGAAUCAACGUGACCGAAAGAUAAAGUGCCUACGAUCAGAUCGUGGAGGAGAAUAUUUAAGUCACGAAUUUGGCACACACUUAAGGAAAUGUGGAAUCGUUUCACAACUCACGCCGCCUGGAACACCUCAGCGAAACGGUGUGUCCGAACGUCGUAAUCGCACUCUAUUGGAUAUGGUGCGGUCUAUGAUGUCUCUUACUGAUUUACCGCUAUCAUUUUGGGGAUACGCUCUAGAGACAGCUACAUUCACUUUAAAUAGGGCACCGUCUAAAUCCGUUGAGACGACACCGUAUGAAUUAUGGUUUGGGAAGAAACCUAAGCUGUCGUUUCUAAAAGUUUGGGGAUGCGAUGCUUAUGUCAAGAAACUUCAACCUGAAAAGCUCGAACCCAAGUCGAAAAAAUGCGUCUUCAUAGGAUACCCUAAGGAAACUGUCGGGUAUACCUUCUACUUAAGAUCCGAGGGCAAAAUCUUUGUUGCCAAGAACGGAUGCUUUCUGGAAAAAGAGUUUCUCUCGAAAGAAGUAAGUGGGAGGAAAGUAGAACUCGAUGAAGUACUACCUCUCGAACGGGAAAGUGGUGCAGCUCAGGAAAAUGUUCCUGUGAUGCCCACACCAACUAAAGAGGAAACCAAUGAUGAUGAUCAAGGUACUUCGGAUCAAGUUGCUACUGAACUUCGUAGGUCCACAAGGACACGUUCCGCACCAGAGUGGUACGGCAACCCCGUCCUGGAAAUCAUGUUGUUAGACAACGGUGAACCUUCGAACUAUGAAGAAGCGAUGGCGGGCCCAGAUUCCAACAAAUGGCUUGAAGCCAUGAAAUCCGAGAUAGAAUCCAUGUAUGAAAACAAAGUAUGGACUUUGACAGACUUGCCCGAUGAUCAGCGAGCGAUAGAAAACAAAUGGAUCUUUAAGAAGAAGACAGACGCGGAUGGUAAUGUCACCAUCUAUAAAGCUCGACUUGUCGCUAAGGGUUAUCGACAGGUUCAAGGGAUUGACUACGACGAGACAUUCUCUCCCGUAGCGAAGCUAAAGUCCGUCCGAAUCAUGUUAGCAAUUGCCGCAUACUAUGAUUAUGAGAUAUGGCAGAUGGACGUCAAAACAGCAUUCCUUAACGGGCAUCUUAAGGAAGAACUGUAUAUGAUGCAGCCGGAAGGUUUUGUCAAUCCUAAGAACGCUAACAAAGUAUGCAAGCUCCAGCGAUCCAUUUAUGGGCUGGUGCAAGCAUCUCGGAGUUGGAAUAUUCGCUUUGAUGAGAUGAUCAAAGCGUUUGGGUUUAUGCAGACUUAUGGAGAAGCCUGCGUUUACAAGAAAGUGAGUGGGAGCUCUGUAGCAUUUCUCAUAUUAUAUGUAGAUGACAUACUCUUGAUGGGAAAUAAUAUAGAAUUUCUGGAAAGCAUUAAGGCGUACUUGAAUAAGUGUUUUUCAAUGAAGGACCUUGGAGAAGCUGCUUACAUAUUAGGCAUCAAGAUCUAUAGAGAUAGAUCGAGACGCCUCAUAGGUCUUUCACAAAGCACAUACCUUGAUAAGAUUUUGAAGAGGUUCAAAAUGGAUCAGUCCAAAAAGGGGUUCUUGCCUAUGUUACAAGGUGUGAGAUUGAGCUCGGCUCAGUCACCGACCACGGCAAAAGAUAAAGAAGAGAUGAGUGUCAUCCCCUAUGCUUCAGCCAUAGGAUCUAUUAUGUAUGCCAUGCUGUGUACCAGACCUGAUGUAAACCUUGUCGUGAGUUUGGUAGCUAGAUACCAAAGUAAUCCCGGCAAGGAACACUGGACAGCAGUCAAGAAUAUCCUGAAGUACCUGAAAAGGACAAAGGACAUGUUUCUCGUUUAUGGAGGAGACGAAGAGCUUGUCGUAAAGGGUUACGUCGACGCUAGCUUCGACUCAGAUCCGGAUGACUCUAAGUCACAAACCGGAUACGUGUAUAUGUUGAAUGGUGGAGCAGUAAGCUGGUGCAGCUGCAAGCAGAGCGUCGUGGCGGGAUCUACGUGUGAAGCGGAGUACAUGGCAGCCUCGGAGGCAGCGCAUGAAGCGAUUUGGGUGAAGGAGUUCAUCACCGACCUAGGAGUCAUACCCAAUGCGUCGGGGCCAAUCAAACUCUUCUGUGACAACACUGGAGCUAUUGCCCUUGCCAAGGAGCCCAGGUUUCACAAGAAGACCAGGCACAUCAAGCGUUGUUUCAACUCCAUCCGUGAAAAUGUUCAAGAUGGAGACAUAGAAAUUUGCAAAGUACAUACGGAUCUGAAUGUCGCAGAUCUGUUGACUAAACCUCUCUCGCGAGCUAAACAUGAUCAACACCAGAACUCUAUGGGUGUUCGAUUCAUCACAAUGUAACUAGAUUGGUGACUCUAGUGCAAGUGGGAGACUGUUGGAAAUAUGCCCUAGAGGCAAUAAUAAAAGUAUUAUUAUAUUUCAUUGUUCAUGAUAAUUGUCUUUUAUUCAUGCUAUAACUGUAUUAUCCGGAAAUCGUAAUACACGUGUGAAUACAUAGACCUCAAUAUGUCCCUAGUGAGCCUCUAGUUGACUAGCUCGUUGUGAUCAACAGAUAGUCAUGAUUUCCUGGCUAUGGACAUUGGAUGUCGUUGAUAACGGGAUCACAUCAUUAGGAGAAUGAUGUGAUGGACAAGACCCAAUCCUAAGCAUAGCACAAAGGUCGUUUAGUUUGUUUGCUAGAGCUUUGCCAAUGUCAAGUAUCUCUUCCUUAGACCAUGAGAUCGUGUAACUCCCGGAUACCGUAGGAGUGCCUUGGGUGUAUCAAACGUCACAACGUAACUGGGUGACUAUAAAGGUGCAUUACAGGUAUCUCCGAAAGUAGCUGUUGGGUUGACACGGAUCGAGACUGGGAUUUGUCACUCCGUAUGACGGAGAGGUAUCUCUGGGCCCACUCGGUAAUGCAUCAUCAUAAUGAGCUCAAGGUGACCAAAGUGUUGGCCACGAGAUCAUGCAUUACGGUACGAGUAAAGUGACUUGCCGGUAACGAGACUGAACAAGGUAUUGGGAUACCGACGAUCGAGUCUCGGGCAAGUAACGUACCGAUUGACAAAGGGAAUUGUAUACAGGGUUUGAUCGAAUCCUCGACAUCGUGGUUUCUUUCCUCCCACCUUGGCCAACGCCCCAAUGGACUUGGAGGGAAAGAAACCAGCCCCUCCACCCCUAUAUAUAGUGGGGAGGCACAUGGGAGCUUAACACAAGCCAAGGCGCAGCCCCUCCCCUCCCCAACACCUCUCCUCCUCCGUAUAUGCUUGGCGAAGCCCUGUCGGAGUACUGCUGCACCAACUACAUCACGCCGUCGUGCUGCCGUUGGAGAAAUCUUCCUCAACCUCUCCUUCCCCCUUGCUGGAUCAAGAAGGAGGAGAUGUCUCCCGUCCCGUACGUGUGUUGAACGCGGAGGUGCUGUCCGUUCAGCACUUGGACAUCGGUGAUCCGGAUCACGUUCGAGUACGACUCCAUCAUCACCAUCCCCUUGGCUAGCUUCCGCUCGUGAUCUACAAGUGGUAUGUAGAUGCAAACUCUCUCCCUUGACUCGUUGCUUAGAUGAACUCAUAGAUGGAUCUUGGUGAGACCGUAGGAAAAUUUUUAAUUUUCUGCAACGUUCCCCAACAGUUUCUUCUCCCGUUUGGAAGCCUCGGUUUCCGGAUCGUCAGAGGCAGUCCUCUUCCUUCCCCGAAGCGAGAGAAGGUCGGAUUCUUCUCCUUGGUUGUCCUCCUUCACAGAGGCGCUCGUUCCCUCGGUUGGAACUAGCAGCGACGGGGCCCGCUUCCGCCCAUAUUAUCCCCCCCCCGUAUCUUCCCUCGAGGGCUCCGGGCAAGGUGUGAGCUUGAGCAUCUUUUACAGCACCAGAUUUUCCAAGCCCUCAAGGAGGGGGGGCCGAAUACCGGAUUAUCUUCGCCUUUGUUAGCCAGUCCUGGUCAAAGAGCAAUAUCUCAAAAAUGACGUCAUAAAUAAAAGACGAUGUGUUCGGCUAGAGGAUUACUUACUUGUUCGGUUGUGUAGUUGCUGCUCAGGCCCACGUCCUCGGUGGUAUCCGGACACUCUAUUUGAGGUCCACAGAAUGACUGGUACAUUUCCUCGUGCAUCAGGCCGAGGAAAUUCUGAAUGGCCCGUGGUCCUUCUGGGUUGAACUCCCACAAGCGAAGGGGCCGGUGUUUGCAAGGCUGGACUCGACGAACUAGCAUAACUUGUAUUACCACAAUCAAAUUAAAAUCUCCCUCGAAGAGAUCUUGAAUAUGGCUUUGCAGUAUAGGCACGUCCUUGGCUGGACCCCAGCUCAGACCUCUACUGAUCCAUGACAUUAGUUGUGGUGGGGGGCCCGAGCGGAAAGCGGGGGCGGCCGUCCACUUGGCACUUCUGGGAGCCGUGAUGUAAAACCACUCUUGUUGCCAUAAUCCGGACACCUCUGGAAAGAAACCCUUCGGCCAUGGAGCUCCGGCCAUCUUGCUUAUUGACGCGCCUCCGCACGCCGCAUGUUGCCCCUCGAUCAUCUUCGGCUUCACUUCGAAGGUCUUGAGCCACAGGCUGAAGUGAGGGGUAAUGCGGAGGAAGGCCUCACACAAGACAAUAAAUGUCGAGAUGUGGAGAAAGGAGUCCGGGGCUAGAUCAUGGAAAUCUAGCCCAUAAUAGAACAUCAAGCCUCUGACAAAGGGAUCCAUAGUAAGGCCUAGGCCUCGGAGGAAGUGGGAGAUGAACACAACGUCUUCGUUGGGUUCAGGAGUAGGGACGACCUGCCCUCGGGCAGGCAGCCGAUGCGAAACCUCGGCGGUCAGGUAUCUGGCCUCCCUCAACUUCUUGAUGUCUUCUUCCGUGACGGAGGAAGGCAUCCAUCGGCCUUAAAGGCUAGAUCCGGACAUGAUUGAAAGUUCGGAGCACCUGACCUGGGCUUUGGGUGUUAUAACUCGAGGCGGGGGAAGGAUUCGAUUGAGCACAGGAGGGAAAAAGUAAAAGCCUUGUCCCUUUAUAAACAGGGUGAAUAUCAAGCGUCCUCUCCGAAACCGUUUGGACUUGCCUAUAAUCUAGGAGUCCUAGACACGCUUGGGUUACCCACACCCGUAUUGAUGAGGAUCCCGUAAUCAGGGGACACGAUCUCUGCCUUGACAAGACGUGUCAAAAAACUGCCUCGCGUUAUGUGCGGGGCUAGUUAAAAGAAACGGUUCGAAUAAGCAUCGGGCCAUGACAUGAUGUCAUGUUGCCAAAACGUGUCAGCAGAUUAAAGAUUUGUGGAAAUAUUAUUCUCUCUACGUUGGUAUGUGGAAUUUGUUUUUGCAGGGUCGGACACUGUCCUUAUAUUCAAAAUUCUUCCGUGGUGUAUUCGGAGGAGGAACCCGCCUUGCAAUGCCGAAGACAAUGCUGCACGUCAGACUCAUCGUCAUUGAAAGCUUGGUUCAUGGGCUACUGUGGGAGUCCUGGAUUAGGGUUUAGCCUCUCUGAUCUCGUGGUAGAUCUACUCUUGUACUACCCAUAUCAUCAAUAUUAAUCAAGCAGGACGUAGGGUUUUACCUCCAUCGAGAGGGCCCGAACCUGGGUAAAAAUUGUGUCCCCUGCCUCCUGUUACCAUCCGGCCUAGACGCGCAGUUCGGGACCCCCUACCCGAGAUCCGCCGGUUUUGACACCGACACCCCCCUUGCUCCUUUAUAUACGGGGGCAGGGGGCACCCUAGAGACACAACAAUUGAUCAUUAAUCUCUUAGCCGUGUACGGUGCCCCCCUCCACCAUAGUCCACCUCGAUAAUACUGUAGCGGUGCUUAGGCCAAGCCCUGCAUCAGUAGAACAUCAACAUCGUCACCACGUCAUCGUGCUGACGAAACUCUCCCUCAACACUCGGAUGGAUCGGAGUUCAAGGGACGUCAUCGGGAUGAACGUGUGCUGAACUCGGAGGUGCCAUACAUUCGGUACUUGAUCGGUCGGAUCGUGAAGACGUACGACUACAUCAACCGCGUUGUGCUAACGCUUCCGCUUUCGGUCUACGAGGGUACGUGGACAACACACUCCCCUCUCGUUGCUAUGCAUCACCAUGAUCUUGUGUGUGCGUAGGAUUUUUUUUUGAAAUUACUACGUUCCCCAACAGUGGCAUCCGAGCCAGGUUUUAUGCGUAGAUGUCAUAUGCACGAGUAGAACACAAGUGAGUUGUGGGCGAUAUAAGUCAUACUGCUUACCAGCAUGUCAUACUUUGGUUCGUCGGUAUUGUUGGAUGAAGCGGCCGGGGCCGACAUUACGCGUACGCUUACGCGAGACUGGUUCUACCGACGUGCUUUGCACACAGGUGGCUGGCGGGUGUCAGUUUCUCCAACUUUAGUUGAACUGAGUGUGUCUACGCCCGGUCCUUGCGAAGGUUAAAAUAGCACCAACUUGACAACCUAUCAUUGUGGUUUUGAUGCGUAGGUAAGAAUGGUUCUUGCUAAGCCCGUAGCAGCCACGUAAAACUUGCAACAACAAAGUAGAGGACGUCUAACUUGUUUUUGCCGGGCAUGUUAUGAUGUGAUAUGGUCAAGACGUGAUGAGAUAUAAGUUGUUGUAUAAGAUGAUCGUGUUUUGUUGAAGUUAUCGGCAACUGGCAGAAGCUUUAUGGUUGUCUCUUUAUUGCAUAAGAUGCAAGCGCCAAAUAAUUGCUUUACUUUAUCGCUAUGCGAUAGCAAUAGUUGCAAGAGCAAUAGUUGGCGAGACGACCAUGUGACGACACGUUGAUAUAGAUCAAGAUGAUGGAGAUCAUGGUGUCAUGCCAGUGACGAUGGAAAUCAUGACGAUGCUUUGGAGAUGGAGAUCAAAGGCACAAGAUGAUGAUGGCCAUAUCAUGUCACAUAUUUUGAUUGCAUGUGAUGUUUAUCUUUUAUGCAUCUUAUUUUGCUUUGAUUGAUGGUAGCAUCAUAAGAUGAUCUCUCACUAAAUUUCAAGAUAAAAGUGUUCUCCCUGAGUAUGCACCGUUGCCAAAGUUCGUCGUGCCGAGACACCACGUGAUGAUCGGGUGUGAUAAGCUCUACGUCCAUCUACAAUGGGUGCAAGCCAGUUUUGCACACGCAGAAUACUCAGGUUAAACUUGACGAGCCUAGCAUAUGCAGAUAUGGCCUCGGAACACUGAGACUGAUAGGUCGAGCGUGAAUCAUAUAGUAGAUAUGAUCAACAUAGUGAUGUUCACCAUUGAAAACUACUCCAUUUCACGUGAUGUUCGGUUAUGGUUUAGUUGAUUUGGAUCACGUGAUCACUUAGAUGAUUAGAGGGAUGUCUAUCUAAGUGGGAGUUCUUAAGUAAUAUGAUUAAUUUGAACUUUAAUUUAUCAUGAACUUAGUCCUGGUAGUAUUAGCAUAUCUAUGUUGUAGAUCAAUUGCUCACGUUUAGCUCCCUUGUUUUAUUUUUGAUAUGUUCCUAGAGAAAACUAAGUUGGAAAAUAUUAGUAGAAAUGAUGCGGAUUGGACUUGAUCUGAGGUUUAUCCUCAUUGCCGCACAGAAGAAUUAUGUCCUUGAUGCACCGGUAGGUGACAAACCUAUUGCAGGAGCAUAUGCAGAUGUUAUGAACGUUUGGCUAGCUCAAUAUGAUGACUACUUGAUAGUUUAGUGCACCAUGCUUAAAUGGCUUAGAAUCGGGACUUCAAAGACGUUUUAAACGUCAUGGACCAUAUGAGAUGUUCUAGGAGUUGAAGUUAAUAUUUCAAGCAAAUACCCGAGUUGAGAGAUAUGAAGUCGCCAACAAGUUCUAUAGCUAAAAGAUGAAGGAGAAUAGCUCAAGCAGUGAGCAUGUGCUCAGAUUGUCUGGGUACUACAAUCGCUUGAAUCAAGUGGGAGUUAAUCUUGCAGAUAAAAUUGUGAUUGACAAAAUUCUCUAGUCACCAUCACCAAGUUAGUAGAACUUCGUGAUGAACUAUAAUAUGCAAGGGAUAACCGAAAUGAUUCCCAAGCUCUUCGUGAUGUUGAAAUCGACGAAGGUAGAAAUCAAGAAAAGCAUCAAGUGUUGAUGGUAAACAAAACCACUAGUUUCAAGUAAAGGGACAAAUGGAAGAAAGGGGAACUUCAAGAAGAACGGCAAGCAAGUUGCUGCUCAAGUGAAAAAAAACCAAGUCUGGACCUAAGCCUGAAACUGAGUGCUUCUACUGCAAAGGGACUGGUCACUGGAAGCGGAAACUACCCCAAGUAAUUGGCGGAUAAGAAGGAUCGCAAAGUGAACAUAGGUAUAUUUAAUAUACAUGUUAAUGAUGUGUACUUUACUAGUGUUUAUAGCAGCCCCACGGUAUUUGAUACUAGUUUAGUUGCUAAGAAUAGUAACUCGAAACAGGAGUUGCAGAAUGAACAAAGACUAGUUAAAGGUGAAGUGACGAUGUGUAUUGGAAAUGGUUCCAAGAUUGAUAUGAUCAUCAUCGCACACUCCCUAUACUUUCGGGAUUAGUGUUAAACCUAAAAUAAAUGUUAUUUAGUGUUUGCGUUGAGCAUAAAUAUGAUUGGAUCAUGUUUAUUGCAAUACGAUUAUUCAUGUAGUUAGAGAAUAAUUGUUGUUCUAUUUACAUGAAUAAAACCUUCUAUGGUCAUACACCCAAUGAAAAUGGUUUGUUGGAUCUCGAUCGUGGUGAUACACAUUUUCAUAAUAUUGAAGCCAAAAGACGCAAAGUUAAUAAUGAUAGUGCAACUUAUUUGUGGCACUGCCGUUUAGGUCAUAUUGGUGUAAAGCGCAUGAAGAAAAUCCAUGCUGAUGGACUUUUGGAAUCACUUGAUUAUGAAUCAGUUGAUGCUUGCGAACCAUGCCUCAUGGGCAAGAUGACUAAGACUCCGUUCUCUGGAACAAUGGAGCGAGCAACAGAUUUGUUGGAAAUCAUACAUACUGAUUUAUGUGGUCCGAUGAAUAUUGAGGCUCGCGGAGGUAUCAUUAUUUUCUGAUCUUCACAGAUAAUUUGAGCAGAUAUUAGUAUAUCUACUUGAUGAAACACAAGUCUGAAACAUUUGAAAAGUUCAAAGAAUUUCAGAGUGAAGUGGAGAAUCAUCGUAACAAAAAUAAAAAUUUCUACGAUAUGAUUGCAGAAGUAAAAUAUUUGAGUUACGAGUUUGGCCUUCAGUUAAAACAAUGUGAAAUAGUUUCACUACUCACGCCACCUGGAACACCACAGUAUAAUGGUGUGUUCGAACGUCGUAACCGUACUUUAUUAGAUAUGGUGCAAUCUACGAUGUCUCUUACCGAUUUACAACUAUCAUUUUGGGGUUAUGCAUUAGAGACAGCUGCAUUCACAUUAAAAAGGGUACCAUCUAAAUCCGUUGAGACGACACCGUAUGAACUGUGGUUUAGCAAGAAACCUAAAGCUGUCGUUUCUUAAAGUUUGGAGUUGCGAUGCUUAUGUGAAAAAGUUUCAUCUUGAUAAGCUCAAACCCAAGUCGGAGAAGUGCAUCUUGAUAGGAUACCCAAAGGAGACAGUUGGGUACACCUUCUAUCACAGAUCCGAAGGCAAAACAUUUGUUGCUUAGAAUGGAUCCUUUCUAGAGAAAGAGUUUCUCUUGAAAGAAGUGAGUGGGGGAAAAGUAGAACUUGAUGAGGUAACUGUACCUGCUCCCUUAUUUGAAAGUAGUUCAUCACAGAAAUCUGUUCCUGUGACUACUACACCAAUUAGUGAGGAAGCUAAUGAUGAUGAUCAUGUAACUUCAGAUCAAGUUACUACCGAAACCUCGUAGGUAAACCGGAGUGAGAUCCACACCAGAGUGGUACGGUAAUCCUGUUAUGGAGGUCAUGUUACUUGACCAUGAUGAGCCUACGAACUAUGAGGAAGCGAUGAUGAGCCCAGAUUCUGCGAAAUGGUUUGAGGCCAUGAAAUCUGAGAUGAGAUCCAUGUAUGAGAACAAAGUAUGGACUUUGAUUGACUUUCCCAAUGAUCGGCGAGCCAUUGAGAUUAAAUGGAUCUUCAAGAGGAAGACGGACGCUGAUAGUAGUGUUAUUAUCUACAAAGCUAGAAUUGUCGCAAAAAAAGUUUUUUCGACAAGUUCAAGGUGUUGACUACGAUGAGAGUUUCUCACUCGUAUCUAUGCUUAAGUCUCUCCGAAUCAUGUUAGCAAUUGCCGCAUUUUAUGAAAUCUGGCAAAUGGAUAAACAAAACUGCAUUCCUUAAUGGAUUUAUUAAAGAAGAGUCGUAUAUGAUGCAACCAGAAGGUUUUGUCAAUCCUAAAAGUACUAACAAAAUAUGCAAGCUCCAGCGUCCAUCUAUGGACUGGUGCAAGCAUCUUGCAGUUGGAAUAUACGCUUUGAUAAGUUGAUCAAAGCAUAUAGUUUUAUACAGACUUGCGGUGAAGCCUGUAUUUACAAGAAAGUGAGUGGGAGCACUACAACAUUUCUGAUAAGUAUAUGUGAAUGACAUAUUGUUGAUCAGAGAUAAUGUAGAAUUAUUUUGCAAAGCAUAAAGGAGUGUUUGAAAGGAGUUUUUCAAAGAAAGACCUCGGUGAAGCUGCUUACAUAUUAGCAUCAAGAUCUAUAGAGAUAGAUUAAGACGCUUGAUAAGUUUUUCAAUGAGUACAUACCUUGACAAGAUUUUGAAGUAGUUCAAAAUGGAACAGUCAAAGAAGGAGUUCUUGCCUGUGUUACAAGGUGUGAAGUUGAGUAAGACUCAAAACCCGACCAUGGCAAAAGAUAGAGAGAAAAUGAAAGUCAUUCCCCAUGCCUCAGCCAUAGGUUCUAUAAAGUAUGGCAUGUUGUGUACCAGAUCUAUUGUAUACCCUACACUGUUUUUGGCAAGGGGUACAAUAGUGAUCUAGGAGUAGAUCCCUAGACAGCGGUCAAAAUUAUCCUUAGUGGAAUAAGGAUAUGUUUCUCGAUUAUGGAGGUGACAAAAAGGUUCGUCGUAAAGGGUUACGUCGAUGCAAAUUUUGACACUAAUCCAGAUGACUCUAAAUCUCAAUCUGGAUACAUAUUGAAAGUGGGAGCAAUUAGCUAGAGUAGCUCAGUGCAGAGCAUUGUUGACAUAGAAAUUUGCAAAAUACUUACGGAUCUGAAUGUGGCAGACCCGUUGACUAAACUUCUCUCACAAGCAAAACAUGAUCACACCUUAGUACUCUUUGGGUGUUAAUCACAUAGCGAUGUGAACUAGAUUAUUGACUCUAGUAAAUCCUUUGGGUGUUGGUCACAUGUCGAUGUGAACUAUGGGUGUUAAUCACAUGGUGAUGUGAACUAUUGGUAUUAAAUCACAUGGCGAUGUGAACUAGAUUAUUGACUCUAGUGCAAGUGGGAGACUGAAGGAAAUAUGCCCUAGAGGCAAUAAUAAAGUUAUUAUUUAUUUCCUUAUAUCAUGAUAAAUGUUUAUUAUUCAUGCUAGAAUUGUAUUAACCGGAAACAUAAUACAUGUGUGAAUACAUAGACAAACAGAGUGUCAGUAGUAUGCCUCUACUUGACUAGCUCGUUGAUCAAAGAUGGUUAAGUUUCCUAGCCAUUGACAUGGGUUGUCAUUUGAUUAACAGGAUCACAUCAUUAGGAGAAUGAUGUGAUUGACAUGACCCAUUCCGUUAGCUCAGCACACGAUCGUUUAGUAUGUUGCUAUUGCUUUAUUCAUGACUUAUACAUGUUCCUAUGACUAUGAGAUUAUGCAACUCCCGUUUACCGGAGGAACACUUUGUGUGCUACCAAACAUCACAAUGUAACUGGGUGAUUAUAAAGGUGCUCUACAGGUGUCUCCGAAGGUACUUGUUGGGUUGGCAUAUUUCAAGAUUAGGAUUUGUCACUCCGAUUGUCGGAGAGGUAUCUCUGGGCCCUCUCGGUAAUGCACAUCACUUAAGCCUUGCAAGCAUUGCAACUAAUGAGUUAGUUGUGGGAUGAUGUAUUACGGAACGAGUAAAGAGACUUGCUGGUAACGAGAUUGAACUAGGUAUUGAGAUACCGACGAUCGAAUCUCGGGCAAGUAACAUACCGAUGACAAAGGGAACAACGUAUGUUGUUAUGCGGUCUGAUCGAUAAAGAUCUUCAUAAAAAAAAUUCCUCACAAAAAAAGGAUAAAGAUCUUCGUAGAAUAUGUAGGAGCCAAUAUGAGCAUCCAGGUUCCGCUAUUGGUUAUUGAUCGGAGACGUGUCUCGGUCAUGUCUACAUAGUUCUCGAACCCGUAGGGUCCGCACGCUUAACGUUACGAUGACAGUUAUAUUAUGAGUUUAUAUGUUUUGAUGUACCGAAGGUUGUUCAGAGUCCCGGAUGUGAUCACGGACAUGACGAGGAGUCUCGAAAUGGUCGAGACAUGAAUAUUGAUAUAAUUGGAAGCCUAUGUUUGGAUAUCAUAAGUGUUCCGGGUAAAAUCGGGAUUUUACCGGAGUACCGGGAGGUUACCGGAACCCCCUGGGAAUCAAAUGGGCCUUAGUGGUCCUAGGUGGAAGAGAGGAGAGGAGUCAAGGGCUGGCCGCGCACCCCUCCCCCUAGUCCGAAUAGGACAAGGAGAGGGGGGGCGGCGCCCCCCUUCCUUCCUUCUCAUCCACUCCUUCCCCCUCAAGUCCUAAUCCAACUAGGAAAGGGGGGAGUCCUACUCCCGGUGGGAGUAGGACUCCUCUGGCGUGCCCUCUCCCUUGGCCGGCCACACCCCCCGUUGCUCCUUUAUAUACGGGGGCAGGGGGCACCCUAGAGACACAACAAUUGAUCAUUGAUCUCUUAGCCGUGUGCGGUGCACCCCUCCACCAUAGUCCACCUCGAUAAUACUGUAGCGGUGCUUAGGCGAAGCCCUGCGUCGGUAGAACAUCAACACCAUCACCACGCUGUCGUGCUGACGAAACUCUCCCUCAACACUCGGCUGGAUCGGAGUUCGAAGGAUGUCAUCAGGCUGAACGUGUGCUGAACUCGGAGAUGCCGUACUUUCGGUACUUGAUCGGUCGGAUCGUGAAGACAUAGGACUACAUCAACCGCGUUGUGCUAACGCUUCGGCUUUCGGUCUACGAGGGUACGUGGACAACACUCUACCCUCUUGUUGCUAUGCAUCACCAUGAUCUUGCGUGUGCGUAGGAGAUUUUUUGAAAUUACUACGUUCCCCAACAUAGGCCCACUCGGUAAUGCACAUCACUAUAAGCCUUGCAAGCAUUGUAACUAAUGAGUUAGUUGCGGGAUGAUGUAUUACAGAACGAGUAAAGAGACUUGCCAGUAACGAGAUUGAACUAGGUAUUGAGAUACUGACGAUCGAAUCUCGGGCAAGUAACAUACCGAUGACAAAGGGAACAACGUAUGUUGUUAUGCGUUUUGACCGAUAAAGAUCUUCAUAGAAUAUGUGGGAGCCAAUAUGAACAUCCAGGUUCUGCUGUUGGUUAUUGACCGGAGACGUGUCUCGGUCAUGUCUACAUAGUUCUCGAACCCGUAGGGUCCGCACGCUUAAAGUUUGGUGACGAUCGGUAUUAUGAGUUUUUGUGUUUUCAUGUACCGAAGGUAGUUUGGAGUCCCAGACAUGAUCACGGACAUGACGAGGAGUCUCGAAAUGGUCGAUACAUAAAGAUCGAUAUAUUGGGCGACUAUAUUAGGACACCGGAAGUGUUCCGGAUGAUUUCGGAGAAAACCGGAGUGCCGGAGGGUUACCGGAACCCCCCGGGAGAAAUAGUGGGCCUUAUGGGCCUUAGUGGAGAGAGAGAGGGAUGGCCUAGGGCAGGCCGCGCGCCCCUCCCCCUCUGGUCCGAAUUGGAUUAGGAGAGGGGGCGGCGCCCCCCUUUCCUUCUCCCUCCCCGUUCCUUUCCCCCUCCUAGUAGGAGUAGGAAAGAGGGCAAUCUUACUCCUACUAGGAGGAGGAUUCCUCCUCCUGGCGCGCCUACAGGGGCCGGACAGCCUCCCCCCUUGCUCCUUUAUAUACGGGGGCAGGGGAGCACCUCUAGACACACAAGUUGAUCUAUUGAUCUAUUCCAGCCAUGUCCAGUGCCCCCCUCCACCAUAAUCCACCUCGAUUAUAUCGUAGCGGUGCUUAGGCGAAGCCCUGCGUCGAUAGUAUCAUCAUCAUCAUCAUCAAGCCGUCGUGCUGACGAAACUCUCCUAUGAAGCUCUGCUGGAUCAGAGUUCGUGGGAUGUCAUCGAGCUGAACAUGUGCUGAACUCAGAGGUACCGUGCGUUUGGUACUUGGAUCGGUCGGAUCAUGAAGACGUACGACUACAUCAACCGCGUUGUGCUAACACUCCCGCUUUCGGUCUAUGAGGGUACAUAGACACACUCUCCCCUAUCAUUGUUAUGCAUCACCAUGACCCUGUGUGUGUGCAUAGGAAUUUUUUUGAAAUUACUACGUUCCCCAACAGUGGCAUCCGAGCCAGGUUUAU
rnacentral:lncRNA from 1 species